rnacentral:rRNA from 2 species
UACGUAGGGUGCGAGCGUUAAUCGGAAUUACUGGGCGUAAAGCGCACGUAGGCGGCUUUGUAAGUUAGAGGUGAAAGCCCGGAGCUCAACUCCGGAAUUGCCUUUAAGACUGCAUCGCUUGAAUCCAGGAGAGGUGAGUGGAAUUCCGAGUGUAGAGGUGAAAUUCGUAGAUAUUCGGAAGAACACCAGUGGCGAAGGCGGCUCACUGGACUGGUAUUGACGCUGAGGUGCGAAAGCGUGGGGAGCAAACAGG